rnacentral:rRNA from 1 species
UACGUAGGGGGCAAGCGUUGUCCGGAAUCAUUGGGCGUAAAGAGCGUGUAGGCGGCCCGAUAAGUCCGCUGUGAAAGUCCAGGGCUCAACCCUGGAAUGCCGGUGGAUACUGUCGGGCUCGAAUCCGGAAGAGGUGAGUGGAAUUCCUGGUGUAGCGGUGAAAUGCGCAGAUAUCAGGAGGAACACCAAUGGCGAAGGCAGAUCUCUGGGCCGUAACUGACGCUGAGGAGCGAAAGUGUGGGGAGCGAACAGG